rnacentral:piRNA from 1 species
UAGCUUUUAUCAUUGAAGCGGUUUGUUCC